GAGAAAACGACAAAUUUAACAUUACACUCUGAAUGAGACGAAUAAAGGUUUUCUUAUUCUUAUUAAAUAUAUUUAUGUGGUAUAACGUGGUCAAGAGCUGUGCCAUGGACCUUGUGAUCCAGAAAAAUCCAAUUUCUGUCUCGAAUUUUAUAUCAAUUUUAGUAUUUGUGUGCGUGUGUGGGUAUGUGUGUGCGUGUGUGCGUGUGCGUGUGUGUGUAUUUGUGUGUGCGUGUGUGUUAUUUUCGUCAUCGUCAGUAUUAUUUAAUAUUCAUUUUCAAAGUGGCACUGUCGAUUUGUUUCAUUAUUCAGUUUAAAAAACGCGUCGACUGUGAUGCAGUACGCUACAUUUAUCCCAUUAGAAAUGAUUUAAAUGAAUACAUUUCCAGGAAUCUAAACUAAUCACCUAAUAUGAUGUAGAACAGGUCUUAUUUAAUGUCAUUGCAUUUAUGUGUUAACUGUUGAUUAUGAUAAUGACGUAUUUUCUAUCAACUUAAAAAGUUGUCCAAAUCAGUUUCUGAUUUUUUAACUCGUGAAUAUUAUGAAGGGGAAAAAAGGCACAAAAACACUUAGAGGUUAUGAAAUUGUAUUCAGGUAAAAACACAAUGGUGACUGAAAACUUUUGAGAGGCUGCUUGGCUCUAUUCUACUGUUGUCUCACAGUGACCUCUUGUGGUUGAAUCUUUCACUCCUCCCCGUGUGGCGUUUGCAUGAUGUGUCUGCGUUUUCUCCUCCUCCUUUGGCUUCUUUCCGUGUUCCAAUAACAUGUAUGUUAAUCGAAACUAACAUGAGCCAUUGGUAUGUAUGUUUGUCUUUAGAUGCCCUGCAAAUGCCUGGCGACCACACCAGAGUGUACAGUACGUCAGCCAGGCAGUUCUAGGUCACUUCACGACCCUAAUGAGGACACGUAGCAGAUGUUGGAGUGAACAUCAUCUGAAACAAGGCGGCCUGGUGUCCAGUGAUUAGCACGUCGACCUCGCAGUGCAAUUCCAGGUUCAGUUCCAGCUCCGGCCUCCUGGUGUGGAGUUUGCAUGUUCUCCCCGUGUCUGCGUGGGUUUUCUCCAGCCCAUCAUCAGCAUGUUCGUGCUACGCUGCUUUGAAACAACCAUUUUUAUACUCCUCUUUUCAAGUUUGCACACAGAUGCAAAACCACUGAGGUAAGCGCCGUUCUAAUGUGUGGGAAAUCAAUGCUGUCUUUUCUAGUCAAGGAGGACAGAAAAGAAAAAGAAGUCACUCAUUGAUCAUUCAUCAUCUUUUCCUCAGAGUGACUGUGGUAUUUUUUUGUGUGCAGAAAGAGAACCAUCAGUGAGGUACAGUUAAUGCACAAUGUUCAGGAACACAAACAAGUGGGAGAGAGACAGGAAUGGCUCCAAGAAAAAUUAAAGGACAUUAUUGUUACCAGUGCCAACCCCCAACAUAGACAAUUAA